AGUUAGCAACGGAGCAAGAAAUUCUGAUCCGUCGCCAUGGCUUUGUGCUCCACCGCCUUUCUCUGCAACCAUGUAGCAGCAGCAGCACCAUGGUCACCUCACAAAAGUAGAGCUAGAAGUUUCCGGCGGCAAAGGAGCUCUAUCAUCAAAGCGACUGUCACCUCCGAUGUCAAGCAAGACCUUAAUACCUCGUUGCAGUACAGGAAGCUUGAUGACUCAAACCUUGUAAUCAGUGAAAUCACUCUCCAAACCAUGACUUUCAGUGAGCACAACACUGAGAUAGAAGCUCACAAGAUUCUCUACGCAGUUGAAAAUGGGAUUAAUGUUUUCGACACUACCGAGGCCGCGAGUGACAUGGUUUACCAUUAAUAUUAUCAAUAUUGUUCAAACUUAACUACCUAUUACUAGGUGAUGGGUUUUAUGACAAAAGAUCUCGGUGGUAUUAGUGUUGGAAACUCUCGUAUAGUAAUUGUAUAUUAUUUUGUUAAAUGACCGAUGCUGGAUCAUAUUCUCUAAUAAUGAGUGCUUGUGAAUUGCUUGGUUAAUUAAUGGCCUCAAUUUUGCUUUGUUUCGUUUCGUUUGGUCUCGGUUUUGAUUAAAGUUUUAAUCUUUGUUGUUGCAGUACCCAAUUCCCAUGAAGGAGGUGACAGAAGGAAACACUGAUCGCCACAUUACCAGUUGGCUUAAAUCUCAUCUCCGCCAUAAAGUAUUUGAUAGUUUGACAUGCUAUGUUGCGAGAUUUUGUUUAGGAUUCUUGUGGAUGAGAUGCAAUUAUAUUAAUGCGUUGUUUGAUUUGCAGUUUAAUACUGAUAACAUAACGUGCUAAGGUACAUAAUAUGCUUGCAAAUAGGUUGUUUUGGAAACAAAAGCGAAUGGGUAUUCAGAGGGGUCAAGUUAUUUGCUUGACAAUGCCAUGGUUUUGCAGGUGGAUGCUACAAACAUUAGAGAAAGUGUAGAGAAAAGCGUAAAGCACCUUGGCUCAGAUUACCUAGAUUUAAUAAUGAUACAACCCUUACUCUGCUUCUUACUCAGUGUAACAGUAGCUAGCAUAUUUCAUUGCAAUAUCAACCUUUACAACAACAACUUUCCCUUUUACAAUAUUCCCUUAUAUAGUAACUAAGCAGCUUCCUCCCUAAGUCACUAAUGCGAAAAUUAUCUUAACACACAAAUUUAAACCUCUUUUGACAACUGUAGUAUAAGUAUAAGUAGGGAUCGUUCUGGACCGGGGAUUAGGAGGGCUUGCUAAUAACCUCUAAACUGACUCAAAAACAUAAAACUAAACUUAAAAAUACUUAACAAGACUCAUAAGACUCAAAGCAAACUUAAAAUACUCAAAACAGCUUAGAACAACUAAAUAAACUUAAACUAGACACUAGGAAUGACUUUGGACGAAAAUUGACUUUUACUUGAAUCAAAACAUUUAAAAACACAAAUUAAAACAAAUUCUAACUAAUUAGACACACUAAAGUAAAGGGAGAUUGAGUUUUGGACGAAGUUGAAACAAACAAACAAGUAUGAAAAACUAGACAGAUUGUAAAAAAAAUUUGAAAAAUAAGAUGAUGGAUGGGAUAGCUAGAGGCUUUUUCUCCACACAUGACAUGUAUGCAAAUAACUCGAUUUCUAGUUACUACUUCAUUGAAUUAUGAACGACAAUGCUCCAAAUUAACCGUGACAUCACUAGUUAACUCUCGGAUUUUCCUUGUUUUAUUGGAUUGGAUGACAUCAUUCGACAACCCAAAACAUUCUUCUAAAGUUCCCUACAUGACAUCAUAAUAGAGAUACAAUCAAAGAUCAUUACGUUUAAUGAAAAUCAUAAGCAUUGACAAAGCACUUGCAACUAUGACAUCAUGUCACUCAUGCUAGGAAUUGAACUUAACGCGAUCGUUUAUAAGCGACCUUCACUACAUGUGAAUAUAAGUUUGUAACGAUUAUGUAAAACUUCCUUAUAAUCUAGCAACGGAUUUAUACAUGCCAAUUAAGUGUCGACCCUUAAUUAACAAAUACAAAUAAGUUAUCAAUCAAAUAGUUAAGCCAAUUGCAUUCACGAUUCAAGAGUUCAUAACUAGAAUUUAUCAAAUUAUAUUGCACACAUAAUCAUGGCUUUGAAAUCACCCCUAGCCAAGAGGGGUUUAGCCACUCAUAUUUACAAAAAAAACGAAAGGAAAUGAAUUUAAACAUUAGAAACAAAAGAAAGAAAACACCUAAACGCUCCAACGAUCCAAGUUGGACAGCAAGCACGUCCAAGCACUUUCCUUCCCUUCCUUUGCUACGGCACAAGGUGUUGGUGAGUGUUUGAAGGUUUGUUUGUAUGGAGGCAUGGAUGUGAAGAUGAAUGGAUAUGUUUGGAUGAAGGUUGUGUUGAAAUGGGAGUGAAUGAUCUCACAAAGUAUCAACUAAAUUUAUGUUACACACACUUCCUUUUAUAGAGGAAGUGCAUGGCAAUGGAGGGGAACAUGGAGUGGUGUAGCAAUUGAGUGCAAUGAUGCAUGAAAUAUGAAAUGAUGGAGGGAACAAGGAAUGGUGUAGCAAUUGAGAGCAAUGAUUCAAUGUAAUGAUGCAUAAAAUCUGAAAUGAUGGAGGGAACAAGGAAUGGUGUAGCAAUUGAGUGCAAUGAGUGGUGUUUGAAAUGAUUCAAAGGUGAAAGUGAAGUGAUGAUGCAAAGCAUGGGGGUAAAAUGGAGUGGUGUUACAGCUAGGGAACAUGAAUGAAUGUGCACAUGGUAGAGAAAGGAAAGGGAGGUGGAAUGAUGCAACAAAUGAGUCAAUGGAGGGAACAUGGAUGAUGAUGCAUGACAUAGGAAUCCAAAGGGAGUGCAAUGGUGGUGCACGGCAAUGAUGGAAAGGUGAAUGGUGGAGUGACACCCCUUUGUGGCUGAGCUCUUUGUCCUUUUUACAUUAAUUCUUCUUUCUCUUUAACACAUUCCUAGCCUCUUUAGUCUUCAAUUUCGUCCAUCCACCUUGCUCCAUGCAUGUGUUAUUCAUUCCAAGCCCAAAACUGCUCCAAAAUGCAUCUUAUUGCUUCAUAAGGCCUAUGGACCUACAAACACACGAAAAUAGCUUAAAAUACAUAAUUAACUAUGAAAUAACAACAUAAAUGCAUGAGAACAAGCUAACUCAGUCGCAUAAAUAUGCUCCUAUCAAAUUCCCCCACACUUAGCUUUUGCUAGUCCUCGAGCAAAACAAAACAAACGAAACAAACAAAACACAACCUAGACCUUCCAACUUUUGCCUCAGGGAUUUUUAAUAAAACAUGACAUGUUAAAAAUCAUCAUGCCCAUAGAUUUUGGUCAUCUUUACACUUGAGCACAUACUUAAUCACAGUCACCACUUACUAGUUCACAAUUCACCAAUUAAAACGAUGUUUUGAAUGUAGUAACAUGCCUUAGAGAAUUUGGUCAAUUUCUUACAAGAUACUCUCUAUUUUCACACACAUUUUCUGACUACACACCCUACACUAGUAUAUGUGAGAAGAUUAAUGUAAACACGAAAGACUAGGACUCACAUAUGUUAUAACAAAGAAAGCAAUUUUCUAGAGUUAUUAACCAUGUUUAGAUAUGAUCUCAUGAAUGGAAUGCUACUACUUAGAUGCGAGAACCAGUGACAUCAUAUGCUCAUACCAAUUUCGAACUCCACAAAUUGAAACACACAAUACUCAAGAUUGAAGUCAAAGGUUGUAACAGGGCUUGGGGGUAAUGGGCUAAUAAAGAAAGGAUAGGAAUAACAAACGUUCUUAAAGCGAUAGCAAACAAAGCAAUGAAAUAGACACUUGGAAUUCACUUUAGAAUGCAGAAUCAACUUUUAAAUACAAAGGGAAGAUUCAUGCAACACUUAGGGCCGAAUUCAAUGUUUUGGACCCUUUUUUAACAAACUUUUUUCUUUUCACUCUUUUUUUUUUUUCUUUCUUUUCUACCUAUGCCUUAUUAAGGACUUUGGCACACACACACACACACACACACACACACACACACACACACAAGAAUCACUUCCCCCACACUUGCUUUCUACAAUACAUUGAUAAAAAAGGAGUUCAUUUUAAGUCAUGCUUUACUAUGCUUCAAGAACAAGGGUAUGAAUGGUCCUAAAACUAGGCUAGGUAAGGAUAGUGUGGAUUAACAAAGAACAUAGGCUUAAUAAGGCUCAACGGGGUUAAACUUAAACACAUAAUGAAAUAGGGGCACGACAAUUUGGCUUUGGUGGUCACUACACAACUUCAUCUUGUAUAUGUGUUAUGCAAAUCAAUAGCAUGCUUUGAAUGAAAUAGGCAUGAGUUCUAGCAUUUGGAACUAAAUGAUGAAACGCCUCCUAAGUAGCAACCAAGCAAAGAAUAAUGAGAUCAUGCAACGACUUUAGAAAACAAUUAUGCAUAGAUUAUUAACUCUCCAAAUAAACGUUUAGGCUCAAGUCUCACAAGGUUGUAGUGUUCAUUUGAGUUCCUUCCUUCAAGCAUGUUACAAAAACUGAUUUUUCCUUUAUGAUUGCAUGUGAAUUCAAAAAUUAUAACCACAACCAAGCAUACACCAAAGAGUAAAUCAAAUUUUCAUCCAUGUUUAUAUCUCUCUUUAAUAGUCAUGUAAUUAAAAACCAAAUCCUCAUCAUUGUGUUGGAAGGUACCCUAAGACACAAAUAAACACACAAAAACAACUUUUUUUGGGUUUUUCAAAACAAUUUUUCAAAUUUUUAUGAGAUUUUCGGAUUUUUAUGUCAAAACACACUAAAACACUCCAAAAUAGCUUAAAAACACUUAAAACAGCAAGGAACAACACUAGAAGUAAUGGGUGAUAAACUCCUACGAAUUUCAUGCAAAACAAUGGUUACCCCCCCAACACUUAAAUCAAACGUUGUCCUCAAUGUUUCAAGCAUAAACUCACAUAAAAACAAGCAAACAAACAAACAAACAACGAAUAAACAUGACAAGUAUAGCAAAGUAAAAACCAAACAGAGUAGAGUUUAAGAACACACAUCUGGUUUUGGAGAUAGAUGAUCUUGUUGACUUUCCACAGCUUUGAUCUCGAACUGGUUUGGAAUUCUGAGUGAGGAACGUUAGAGUUCCUUGGUUGUGCAGUCUGCAUUCUUCUCUGCUUGUUUCUUCUGUAUGGCAGGCAGGCACGAGGUAGAGGUGAUGGUCUGUUUCUUUCUUCAAUCUUUCCACGUGCCGACCAUUUGCUUUUUUUCUCCUUGUCUCUAGCUGAGGAUGAAUUAGCACAUUGUCUCCACAUGCUUCGAGGUAUCAUUUUCACUUCCCUUAUCUGUUCCCCAGGCAGAUAUGGUAGACGAAGAGGAAGCAUAAGAUGUUGAAGAUGAGUACUCGAGAGCAAGGCUAGGUAAGCAAUCAGGAAAGGGUUCCAGGCAGUCGGUUCCAGAUCGAAAGAUUGAUACCAAGUGUUGGCUGAUUGCUCUCUUUCUCCUUAUCCCGCAGAUGAAAACAACGACAAGGAGAAAGAUAGGGAGAAAGCAUGAUAUGAGAUACUCUUGCUUUCAACCUUCAUGAUAUGAAAUACUUUUGCUUUGGAUGAGUUGUUUGCAGAGGUACCCCAAGGAAUAAGGAACACUGAGUGACUCGAGAGGCUUCGUUGGGAAGGCAUUCUCGGAGAUGAAGAAAGGUUAUGUAUGUCUGCCUUGCAAUGGAGGGUGAAGGUUGACAUUUAUAGGAAUUAAUAACCGGUACUAUUCUUUCACUCUUGUCGGCAACCGUUGGAUGAUUUAACAGUAAACUUCACGUGCCUUCUACUUCACAAGAAAUCUUUGACAGAUUACCCGUAAUUUUCAGCAAGGCUGAGUGUACAUGUGACAGGCGCUGACACGUAUGGAAAAGCAAGUGCCUCUUCGAUAUCUGGAAUUGGCGCUUCGACAAACUGCCCGUGAUUUCUGCAAAGCUGAGUGUGUAUGUGACAGGCACUGACACGUCUGGAAAACCAAGUGCCUCUUCGAUAUCUGGAAUCGGCGCUUCGACAAACUGCCCGUGAUUUUCGUAAAGCUGAGUGUGCAUGUGACAGAUGCUGACACGUCUGGAAAAGUAUAUGCCUCUCUGAUUUCUGAGCUUGCCUCUUCGAGUUCUGAGCUCCGUCAAGUGUAGAGGUUGCAUGUGACAAGUGCGAACAAAUCUGGAAAAUAAGAUUGGCAUGUGGUUUCUUAGCAAGCUUAGCUUUUGAGAAAGCUAGCGCCUCUUCGAUUUUUGAAUUGGCCUCUUCGAUUUCUGAGCUCGCUUCUUCGAUCUCUGAAAUCUCGUCGAGUGCUGGUUUUUAUAGAGACGCGCAGUACGUUUCAAAGCACACUUGAAUUUCUACCUGUAGAAACUCCCUUCUUACACUUCUACGAUCUUGACUUAUCCAACCUCUUCUUUCUUCAACACCUUUGAAAAUGUCUGGCCCCUCUGACCGUCGUUUUAACUUGAACCUUGGUGAAAAGGCAUCCAUGCCUUCUCCAGACAACAUAUGGCGCCCAUCCUUCAUAUCCCCUACUGGUCCUCUUACCGUUGGGGAUUCGGUGAUGAAGAAUGAUAUGACCGCUGCGGUGGUGGCCCGGAACCUUGUCACUCCCAAAGAUAACAGACUGUUUUCCAAACGGUCUGAUGAGUUGGCUGUUAAGGAUUCUCUGGCUCUCAAUGUGCAGUGUGCAGGUUCUGUGUCCAAUAAGGCCCAACGUCUAUUUGCUCGAACCCGUCAAGUUGAAUCAUUGGCGGCUGAAGUGAUGAGUUUCAAACAGGAGAUUAGAAGGCUCAAGCAUGAGAAUAAACAGUUGCACAGGCUCGCACAUAACUAUGCUACCAACAUGAAGAGGAAGAUUGACCAGAUGCAGGAAUCUGAUGGUCCGAUUUUACUUGAUCAUCAGAGGUUUGUGGGUUUGUUCCAACAGCAUUUGCCUUCGUCUUCUGGGGCUGUACCGAGUAGUAAAGCUCCAAAUGAUCAACCUCCGAUGCCUCCUCCUUCUGGGGCUCUGCCGACCAUUGAGACUUCUCCUAAGCAGCCUUUGUGAAGGCUUUCUCUUGUAUUUUCUGCUUAAUGUUCCUUUUUUUUUCAUGAAAAUAAAUGUAAAAAUACCUUGCAUAUCUGACAAUGUUUCAAAAAUAAACCCACACCAAAAAUAAUUGAACAAGCAACAAAUAAAAAUGACAAUCAUGGCAAAAUAAAACUGCAGAAAAUGGAAGGUUUUUAGGAACGCAAAACACAAUCGUGGAGCAAUUCAAAAAUCUUCCUUAUUUGAGUACAUGGGUUUCCUCCCAAGAAGCGCUUGCUUUAACGUCUUCCAGCCGGACGAUACCUCCAUUUAAGCUUGAAUAGGGCCCACGGCAUGAAGGGGUAUGUCCUCUACGGCAUGCUCCUCAAAAUACUCAUACAUUGGCUCUAUGAAUGGAAGGGGAUAGUAAUCCUUCCCGAUUGGGGCGUUGAGCAUCCUUAAGUCAAUGUAAUCAUUCCCACCAGCUUGGAUUCGAUUGGGGACUUGCACCGUACAAGGUAACAACCUAUUAGUUAAAAUGGGAAUCGAAAUUGGAAUAUGUGGUUUACCAAUGUGUUGCAAUGAAGUAGCAGCAUUGUCAACAGAUUUUCCAAAUGUGCUUUCGGCCAGAUUAUGCAUUUGGAGGUUAGUGGUGUGUUCUUUGUGCUCCACUCCAAUUUCCUCUUCGUUGGUGGUUGGAAAUUCAUCCUUCUUGGUUGGUGCUGAAUGUUCUUGUCCUAUGUUUUCAACUACAUCAAUGGCAAAACAAGAACGAACAUCAGUAAGAUUCACAUUAGAUUCAGGAAUUUUAAAGUGAAUCAUAUCACCACCAAAUGACAUUGUUAAUGCUCCCUUGGCCACAUCAAUCUUAGUUUGAGCUGUUUUCAUGAAAGGUCGUCCAAGUAAGAUUGAUGGUGGUGGAGAGUGGGCUGCAUCCUCCAUGUCAAGCACAUAGAAAUCUGCACGAAAAAUCAAAUGGUCUACCUGCACCAAAACAUCCUCCAAAACUCCUUUCGGGUAGGCAUUAGAUCGAUUGGCUAGUUGAAUAACAACACCAUUAUGUUUAAGCUCUCCUAGAUUUAUAGAUGCAUAAACAGAAUAUGGCAUGACAUUAAUUGAUGCACCUAGAUCUAGCAUAGCAUGUUCAAACCUCAUAUUUCCAAUAACACAAGGGAUAGUGAAAUUACUUGGAUCUUUGCAUUUGGGUGGCAGCUUCCUUUGCAACAUUGCAGAGACAUUCUCAUUCACAUGUACCACCUCUUUCUCACGAAUCCGGUUCCUUGUUGUGCAAAGCUUCUUUAAAAACUUAGCAUACUUCGGGAUUUGUUUGAUGGCAUCUAAGAGUGGAAUAUUGACUUGUACUUUUCUGAAUGUUUCAAGGAUGUCUUUUUCACUUUCUUCAUUCUGUGUUUGCAUGAAUCUGCGAGGGAAAGGUGCAUUUGGUGGAAUAACGUUAGAAUUAACCGAAUUGGAACCUUUCUUACCUGUGGUGGACAAAUUGGAUGGAUUAAAGAGUGUAGGAGUGCACGGCAAGGUUGUUUCCUUCCUUGCCGUGGGUGUGUGUUGGACAUCCUUCUCUUGUUGCAGCUUCUCGUCCUCCGUUUGGGCAGAUUUUAAUGGUUGGGGUCCGUUCCAACUUCUUUUCCACCUUUCAAGGUAAUGGCCUUUAUGGAUUCAAAUCCUCCCCUUAGAUUCACAAUGGUUGUGCUAGACAGUUUGCCUUGCUCUUUCAUUUACCCCAUGAACUCCGUCAUUUGGCCCAUUUGUUUCUUCAAUUCAUCCACCUCCUUAGCUUGAUUGAGCAUUGUUUUAUUUUGAUUUUGCUGCCCCUGCGCUAAGGAAGUUAGUAAUUGAACAAUUUGAUAAUUAUCCAUGGAUGUACCUGAAUUGGUUUGGGUAGAUUGUGGUUGGACUUGAGUGGGUACAUAUGGCCUUUGAUACAUCCCAGAGGGUUGUGGCAGAAAUCCUCCUUGUUGGGCAGAUUGUUGUGGUUCUCUCCACUUGAAAUUUGGAUGAUCUCUCCACCCUGAAUUGUAAGUGUUGGAGUAGGGGUCAUUAUGUUGCUGAUUGUGGCCUUGAAAAACCACGGCAUUGGCAAAUUCCCACCCUUCAUUCUCGAUCAAUUGAGGGCACUUAUUCGUGAAAUGUCCUUGCAUUAAGCACACGCCAUAAGCAGCUACACUUUGUACCUUUGGUAUUUCAACCACCUAUGAAAGAAGAGUAAUAAGAUUAGCCAUUUGAUUUUUAAGUUCGAAAAUAGCACUUACCUCAUUAACAUGUUGUUACCGUGGGAUGUCUAUUUGACCAACACCUUCAUAUUAUUGAGCAUUCAAUGCUCGGUUAGCAAUUAAGGUCUUGGCAGCCAUGGGUGUUUUGUCCACCAAAGCUCCUUCCGCUGAGGCGUCUAGCAUUUGGCGUUCAAUUGGUAGAAGCCCUUCAUAGAAAUAUUGAAGAAGAAGCUCAUUCUUCAUUUGAUGAUGUGGACAUUAAGCAACAAGGGUUUUAAAACGUUCAUAGUAAGUGGGAAAUGAUUCACCUUGGUUUUCCUGAAUGCCACUAAUCCUUUUAUGUAGUAGAAUGACUCGAGAAGUUGGGAAAAACUUCUCCAAAAAUGCCCGUUUCAUACUCUCCCAUGAUGUGAUAGUUCUGAGGGCUAGUUCAUACAACCAAUCUUUAGCCUUUUCCAAGAGAGAAAAGGGAAAAACCUUCAUUUUCAGAAUGCUCCCAUCAACAUUCACAGAGGUCAUGCUCGAACAAACAACCUCGAACUUCUUCAAAUGUUUAUUAGGAUCUUCCAUGGAUAACCCAUGGAACUUAGGAAUAUGGUGCAAUAAACUGGACUUUAAUUCGAACUCAUCGGUCUUUCCUUGGGCAGCCACGGGGUAUUGAAUGCAAAGUGGUGCAGCAUUGUCCAAUCCCGAAGUAGAAAACUCCUUGAUUGUUCGAUUGUCCGCUGCCAUGUCUUGUACUUCUUCAAAAAUCUGAGUCGGUUGAGGUGGUUGGGGUUCUUGUUGAUUCCUUGCUCGUCUCAAAGUUCGUUCAAAAUCGUCGUCAAAGUCAAGGAUGUGCUUAUGAAUAGGUUGAGAACUUCGAGUCAUAAACCACCUAAAACAAGAAAACAAGUAAAGUCAUCAACUAGGAACAAAAACACAUGAAAAUAAACAAAAAGAAAUAACAAGGGAUUAGCAAAGUUGCUAAUCCUUGGCAACGGCACCAAAAACUUGAUGCAAAAAUUAUCUUAACACACAAAUUUAACCGUCUUUUAACAACUGUAGUAUAAGUAUAAGUAGGGAUCGUUCUGAACCGGGGAUUAGAAGGGCUUGCUAAUAGCCUCUAAACUGACUCAAAAACAUAAAACUAAACUUAAAAAUACUUAACAAGACUCACAAGACUCAAAGCAAACUUAAAAUACUCAAAACAGCUUAGAACAACUAAAUAAACCUAAACUAGACACUAGGAAUGACUUCGGACGAAAAUUGACUUUUACUUGAAUCAAAACAUUUAAAAACACAAAUUAAAACAGAUUCUAACUAAUUAGACACACUAAAGUAAAGGAAGAUUGAGUUUUGGACCAAGUUGAAACAAACAAACAAGUAUGAAAAACUAGACAAAUUGUAAAACAAAUUUGAGAAAUAAGAUGAUGGAUGGGAUAGCUAGAGGCUUUUUCUCCACACAUGACAUGUAUGCAAAUAACUCGAUUUCCAGUUACUACUUCAUUGAAUUAUGAACGACAAUGCUCCAAAUUAACCGUGACAUCACUAGUUAACUCUCAGAUUUUCCUUGUUUUAUUGGAUUGGAUGACAUCAUUCGACAACCCAAAACAUUCUUCUAAAGUUCCCUACAUGACAUCAUAAUAGAGAUACAAUCAAAGAUCAUUACGUUUAAUGAAAAUCAUAAGCAUUGACAAAGCACUUGCAGCUAUGAUAUCAUGUCACUCAUGCUAGGAAUUGAACUUAACGCGAUCGUUUAUAAGCGACCUUCACUACAUGUGAAUAUAAGUUUGUAACGAUUAUGUGAAACUUCCUUAUAAUCUAGCAAUGGAUUUAUGCAUGUCAAUUAAGUGUCGACCCUUAAUUAACAAAUACAAAUAAGUUAAUCAAAUAGUUAAGCCAAUUGCAUUCACGAUUCAAGAGUUCAUAACUGGAAUUUAUCAAAUUAUAUUGCACACAAUCAUGGCUUUGAAAUCACCCCUAGCCAAGAGGGGUUUAGCCACUCAUAUUUACAAAAAAACGAAAGGAAAUGAAUUUAAACAUUAGAAACAAAAGAAAGAAAACACCUAAACGCUCCAACGAUCCAAGUUGGACAGCAAGCACGUCCAAGCAUUUUCCUUCCCUUCCUUUGCUACGGCACAAGGUGUUGGUGAGUGUUUGAAGGUUUGUUUGUAUGGAGGAAUGGAUGUGAAGAUGAAUGGAUGUGUUUGGAUGAAGGUUGUGUUGAAAUGGGAGUGAAUGAUCUCACAAAGUAUCAACUAAAUUUAUGUUACACACACUUCCUUUUAUAGAGGAAGUGCAUGGCAAUGGAGGGGAACAUGGAGUGGUGUAGCAAUUGAGUGCAAUGAUGCAUGAAAUAUGAAAUGAUAGAGGGAACAAUGAAUGGUGUAGCAAUUGAGAGCAAUGAUUCAAUGUAAUGAUGCAUAAAAUCUGAAAUGAUGGAGGGAACAAGGAAUGGUAUAGCAAUUGAGUGCAAUGAGUAGUGUUUGAAAUGAUUCAAAGGUGAAAGUGAAGUGAUGAUGCAAAGCAUGGGGGUAAAAUGGAGUGGUGUUGCAGCUAGGGAACAUGAAUGAUUGUGCACAUGGUAGAGAAAGGAAAGGGAGGUGGAAUGAUGCAACAAAUGAGUCAAUGGAGGGAACAUGGAUGAUGAUGCACGACAUAGGAAUCCAAAUGGAGUGCAAUAGUGGUGCACGACAAUGAUGGAAAGGUGAAUGGUGGAGUGACACCCCUUUGUGGCUGAGCUCUUUGUCCUUUUUACAUUAAUUUUUCUUUCUCUUUAACACAUUCCUAGCCUCUUUAGUCUUCAAUUUCAUCCAUCCACCUUGCUCCAUGCAUGUGUUAUUCAUUCCAAGCCCAAAACUGCUCCAAAAUGCACCAAAAUGCAUCUUAUUGCUUCAUAAGGCCUAUAGACCUACAAACACACAAAAAUAGCUUAAAAUACAUAAUUAACUAAGAAAUAACAACAUAAAUGUAUGAGAACAAGCUAAUUCAGUCGCAUAAAUAUGCUCCUAUCAGUCACUCCCUGACAACCCUUAACCACCAACCAAUUCCAACUAAUUAUUUCUUGUCCUAGUCAGCACUCCCAACCUUAUGUGUCACAAUACACAGCAUCCUAUCAAUACCCCCUCCACAAAACAAGGCUUGUACACAAGACUUCAAAAGGAAUUACAACAUUGUCGACAAUGCAUUAAUGGAAUGGAAAUAUCACAAUUGAGCCACCAACAGAAAUUUGGACUUCAAAUCGGCAUAAUCUUCCCAAGUUGCAUCUGCUGGAGCAUGGUUUUGCCAUUGGGCUAGAACUUCAGUUGCUACAGUGGUACCACACUUGACCAUCCUCCGCUCCAAUAUUGCCACUGGAACAUCAUGGAGUAUCCCCUCAUCAGUAAUGACUGGUAAUGGAGCAGCAGGUUGAAUGUGAUCGCCCAGAUGCUUUUUAAGGCAAGAGACAUGGAAGAUUGGAUGUAAUUUCGAAUUGGCUGGCAACUUGAGUUUAUAGGCCACGGCCCCUACCUUAGCCAAUACUUCGAAUGGGCCAUAAAAUCGAGGCUGAAGCUUGUGAAUGGAUGGGAAGCCAAAGACAAUUGCUGAUAUGGAACCAAUCACAAGUACACCAAGUCACCCACUUGAAAAACCCGUUCAGUUCUGUGCUUGUUAGCUUGAACAGCCAUCCAAUUUUGAGCAGCCAACAGGUUUGCCUUCAAAAAAGAUAGGACGUGGUUUCGUUCUUGUAAACACCGAUCAACCAUGUCAAGCUUGGUAAUGCCAGCUUCAUAAACCACUUCAUAAGAAUUGAGUUUAGUUGCACUGUGAAAAGCCGUAUUAUAGCUAUACUCUGCCCAUGACAGCCAGUUGGCCCAUUUCUUGGGUUGGAAGCUACAAAAACACCUGAGAUACGUCUCCAAACACCGGUUAACCACCUCUGUUUGACCAUCUGUUUGUGGAUGGUAACCCAAGCUAAAACACAGAGAAGAACCCUGUAGUGUAAAGAAUUCUUUCCAGAAUUUACUGAUAAAGAUGGGAUCCCUAUCUUACACUAUAGAAGCAGGCAUUCCAUGGAGUUUAAAGAUGUGUUCAACAAAGAGGUGUGCCAUCGAGACAGCCGUGUAGGGAUGUGAAAGGGCAAGAAAAUGGGCAUACUUGGAAAGUCUGUCAACAACCACCCAAAUAACAGUUUUACCUUUGCAAGGAGGUAAGCCAAUGAUAAAGUCCAUAGAAAUGUCCGUCUAAACUCGAGAAGGAAUAGGCAAAGGUUGAAUUAAUCUGGCAGGAGCCAAAGUCUCAUAUUUCUGUUGUUGACAAGUGACAUAAUUUGCUACAAAGUCCUUAAUAUCCUUCUUCAUACCAAUCCAAUAGAAAGACCGAGAGAGUCUUUUAUAGGAUUUAAGAAACCCAGCAUGGCCUGCAAUGGCACUUCAAUGAUGUUUGUCAAACACCUUAUGCCUCCAAAAACUAGUAGGACUCAAUACUAUUCUACCUUUGUAUUGGAGAAACCCAUUGUUUACCUUGUACUUCAAGUUGCGAAUCAAAGUUGAAUCAUUGAGUUGUAAAACUUCCUGAAUUUUUUACACAAUCCAAGUGUCUUGUUCAAGAUGCCUCCGCAAGUCAUCCAACCAACUUAGAUAAGGGUAGGAAAUAGCAGCCAGUUGCAUGUCACAAUUCUGAGAAUUGAUAUCAACAGGCAAUCUUGAAAGGGCAUCUACCACUUGGUUAUCACAACCCUGUUUAUAUUGAAUUUCGUAAUCAAAACCCAAUAAUUUAGAAACCUAUUUUCUGCUGAAAUGGAGUAUGUGCUCGAUUUUGCAGAAAAAAUUUAAGGUUGUAAUGGUCCGUUUUAAUGAUAAAAUGUCUCCCAACCAGAUAUGAUUGCCAUUUUUUCACUGCAUGAAUAAUCGCCAUCAUCUCCCGUUCAUAUGCAGAUAACGAUUGAUUCCGAAUACUCAGCGCCUUGCUGGUAAAAGCAAUAGGCUUGCCAUUCUGUUGUAACACAGCACCAAUGCCAAACUCAGAUACAUCACUCUCAAUGAUAAAAGGCUGUGUAAAAUCAGGGAGAGCCAAUACCUGCAGAGAAAGCAUGGAUGUUUUCAACUCAUUGAAAGCAGUGGUGGCUUCCGAAAUCCAAUGAAAGUUAUCUUUCUUAGUUAAAACUGUGAGAGGACUGAUGAUCUUCCCAAAAUCAGGAAUAAACUUUCUAUAAUAUCCAGUCAACCCGAGAAUCCCCGAAGUGCCUUCACGGAUGUAGGUAUUGGCCAAUUGGCAAUGGAUGCCAAUUUACUAGGAUCAGUUGCAACCCCAUUUUUGGACACAAUGUGACCCAGAUAUUCAAUUGUCGAUUGUUCAAAAGCACACUUAGAUUUCUUCACAAACAAGGUAUGAUCUUGUAAUACUUGAAAAACCACGCAUAGAUGAUUUAAAUGAGAUUCCCAAGAGCUGCUAUAUACUUAAAUAUCAUAAAAAAAAAACCAAAAUAAAUCAUCUAAGAUAGGGCCUGAAGAUCUCAUUCAUAAGACACUGAAAUGUUGCAGGAGCAUUAGUUAAACCGAAAAACAUAACCAAAAACUCAUAGUGGCCAUCAUGUGUUCGGAAACCAGUCUUCUCAAUGUCAUUGGGAUGCAUUCUGAGUUGGUGAUACCCAAAUCGCAGGUCCAAUUUCAAAAAAAAACUGAGCCCCAAAUAGUUCAUCAAGCAGCUCAUCAAUCAAUGGGAUAGGAAACUUGUCUUUAAUUGUAAUAUGGUUGAGUCCACUAUAGUCCAUACACAUUCGCCAAGUCCCCUCUUUUUUUUUUUACUAAGAUAACUGGGGAAGAAUAUGGACUAUUACUGAUUCUGAUAAACCCAGCCUUUAACAAUUCAUGCACACACUUUUCAAUUUCUGUCUUCUGCAAAGGUCCAUAUCAAUAGGGCCUCAUGCUUGGGGGCUUACUACCUUCUAAUAAAGGAAUGCGAUGGUCAUGUGACCUGUGAGGUGGAAGAGUGUUUAGAGUCAAGAAAACUCCCUCAAAUUCUUGUAAUAGCUGCUGCAAUUCCACAGAUUGUUGAUCAGUAAGUGAGUCUUGCGUCUAAAACAUGUCUUCAGUCUUGAUUUGAAACAAGAAAGCUCCAAUGGACGACUCUUGUUGCAUAAGUUUCUCCAUUUGGAGAAUAGAGACAUCUUGAAAGUGCUCUGUAGGAGUUUCAGGACUAGAAAGACAAUACAUCACCCCACCCUUUGUGAACUUCAUAUACAAUUUAUCAAAAUCCCAAAUGACUGGUCCAAGAGUUCGCAACCACUGCACCCCUAAUACAAUGUCACAACCACCUAAAGCCAUAGCAUACAAGUCAGUUAUACACUAAUAAUUCUGAAUUUUUAAAGAGAUAGCCCCCACGGAUCCAAUUGUAUUAACUUUUCCUCCAUCGGCAAUCUUAACACUAAAAGAGUGAGAUGUAUCAAGAUGACCAUUAAUCUUCUUUACCAAAGAAGAAUCAAUGAAAUUAUUUGAACUACCAGAGUCAAUGAGAAUUAUCACAGGGCAAUUUUUAAUGCAACCUAAAACUUUCAUAGUCUUGAUAGAUGUAGGUGCAGGAGUGCCAAAAAGAGCAUAAGAGGUGAUUUCUGGUUCAAGAUUCUCAUCAUCAGAGGAUUCAUUAUCAUCAGGAGUGUGAAUAUCGAUAAGCAAAAGCUGUUUUUUCUCACAGGAAUGACCUCUAGCGUACUUUUCCUUACAAUGAAAGCAUAACCCAUGUUUCUUAGAGUAUUCUACUUGUUCAGGAGUCAGUCUUCUAACAAUAUCAGGCUUGAUCUUAAUUUCUCCAUUAGUACCAAUAUUAACAGUCUGUAAUGAAGUACGAGAAAAAGUAUUAACAAAAGAACGAGGAAAAGAUUUGACCUUUAAAUCGGACAAUUUCGCAUCCAGCUGUUGUGCAUACGCAGUUGCUUCCAGGACGUCCCUGGGUUUCAAGAUCUUCACAUCAUGACGCAUUUCAAAUUUGAGACUGCCAAUUAAGCAAGACUUCAAAAGAGAAUAAGUCAUAUCUCUGGUGCGAUUGGCCAAUCUUCUGAAGUCAAGAACAUAAUCCCUCAAAGAUCCAAUUUGUCUCAAUUUCACUAAACUCUCUGCGGCGUCGUCGAACUCGGAAGGCCCAAAUUCUUGACAUAAUGCUCGAGUGAAAUCUUCCCACUUUGGAUAAUUGGCAGUGUAAUUAGCCCAUUGAAACCACUGCAAGGGUUCGCCUUCCAGAUGGAAGGAAGCCAUUUUCACUUUCUUGAAUUCUUCGAUGUUAAAGAAAUCAAAAUAGUGCUCUGCUUUGUAAAUCCACCCUAAGGGUUCAUCACCGUCACCAAAUCUAGGAAAGUCCAUCUUCAAAAAUGGUUGACGCGGAUUCGAAGCAUUUGUGGCGAAUUCUUGACGACAAGAAUUGGGGGCAAAAUUAGGGUUCGUACCCAUUUGCAGAUUUGGAUCAGAAUGCGUUGCUUCCGAAGAUUCGCCGACAGAUCCACCCUUAGAAGAUAAGGAUUGUAGCUGUUGAAGAAUCAAUUCGUGAGUCGCGCGGAACUCCAUUCGCGAUUCGUGGAACUCGCUUCUGGAUUCCUUGAAUUCUUUCUGAAAUUCUUCGAACAAAGAUUCCAGCUUGGAUACACGCAAUUCCAUUGUUCUUCUGGAAGCAAGCCGAGUCAUACACGAGAAAGAUCAAGUCAGGAUCGGAAACAAUGGCUUGAUACCAAUGAUACAACCCUUACUCUGCUUCUUACUCAGUGUAACAGUAGCUAGUAUAUUUCAUUGCAAUAUCAACCUUUACAACAACUUUCCCUUUUACAAUAUUCCCUUAUAUAGUAACUAAGCAGCUUCCUCCCUAAGUCACUCCCUAACAACCCUUAACCGCCAACCAAUUCCAACUAAUUCUUUCUUGUCCUAGUCAGCACUCCCAACCUUAUGUGUCACAAUACACAGCAUCCUAUCAAAUACAAAUUCAUUGGUAAGUUCAUCGACCAAAUUCCACACUUAUACAAGCUUAACAAGCUACAUUUUCAAAUGAUUGUGUGAUUGUAAUUUGUGUUGCACGAGAUGUGCCUUCACACUCUUAACUGUUUCAAACUUUUCGAACUGUAUAGGUACGCUACAUUGGUGUUUCCAAUGAAACUUCAUAUGGAUUUGUAAA
rnacentral:lncRNA from 1 species